rnacentral:lncRNA from 1 species
AAAAUUAGGUCUGGCCGUCUUCCCCUGUCAAAAGAAUGACUCUGAAUUCGUAACAGGGGUAUUUAUAGUGAGGAGCGCGUCAAAAACAGGCCCAAGUCCAGCGUGCUACCGCCGGGCGGUUUAAGUGUGCCGCCCGGCAGUUUCCCAUAACCUGCCACCACCGCCCGAUGGCAGUCACCACCGCCCAAUGGUUUCCCAUGCCACUGCCCGGCGGCAAUCGCCAACACCCG